GUGAUAUUCUCUGAAGUUGCAGAUGCAGAGGACUUGAGGCCAUGUGCCACCUCAAGCCAGAGCGACAUUAGUCCAAGUGGCAGCCAGGAAGAAGCUGGCCAAGACAGAGCAUCAGAAUCAGACCAAGAGCUGCCAUCCCUGCUUGAUGAGCCUGUGGCUUCUGAGAUGCCCGCUGGAUACAUUAAAG